UACGAAGGAUCCAAGCGUUAUCCGGAUUUAUUGGGCGUAAAGGGUGCGUAGGCGGUUUGGUAAGUCUGAUGUGAAAUCUAUGGGCUCAACUCAUAGUCUGCAUCGGAAACUGCCGGGCUUGAGUAUGGGAGAGGUGAGUGGAAUUCCUGGUGUAGCGGUGAAAUGCGUAGAUAUCAGGAGGAACACCUGUGGCGAAAGCGGCUCACUGGACCACAACUGACGCUGAGGCGCGAAAGCUAGGGGAGCAAACAGG
rnacentral:rRNA from 1 species